CUGACUCUUUGGCCAUUCUCUGCGCUGCCUUGCCACUUCUUCAGGUUCUCACCGAGGUCGAGCAACCCAGGGAAGGAGCAGCGGUGCCUGUAUUCAUCCAUUGAUCCCGUCAUCCGGUACCUUUCUACGCAUCAUCAUGGUUAACCCCCGCCG